CGCUCCCCCCGGCCUGAUGGGGUCUUUGGGGCAGGGAAGGGGUCAGUGGCCGCUGAAACCACAAACACUGGUGCUGUGCCCACAGGAAGGAUGGCACCAUUGCCGCUCAGUUUUCAGCAGGGCUUUCCAGGUGCGCCUCAGUGGCCGGUGUCCUGGCCCCGACUGACAAAACUCCACCUCUGACCAGCCCAGCACACCCUGGCCACCCUGCCUGAGCACGGGCCUUGCAGGCAGCCUGCCCAACCGGAGUCCUGUCUGUGCCUCUCACCCGAGGCUGUGUGGUCUGAGCUGGGUCCUCACUGGCGCGGGGCCCCGAGGGACAGAGCCACAAGGUCACUGCCACCGCUGCUGUGACUCCAGCCUCUCCGCUGCUUCCAGGGGGACCAGCACCCCACAGCCCUGGUUCGGGGCAUCACUGUUUCCUCUCUGACAUGUCUGGCCCUGUACGGUGGGGACCACGGGCUCCUUUUUUCUGAGGAACAAGACAGACUAACAUUCCACAGAACACCCAGGACUCCUCUGUCACAUCGGAGCUCUUGUGGUCUGGAGCCACACAUGAAGUCAAGGCUCAGCCUGCAGCCUCGGCCGGGCUGGCUGCCGAGCAACUUCUGCGGGAGCUGCAAGGCCACCACAGGCCGCAGCGCUUCCCAGGCCUUUGCUGAGCUCCCCACAGGGCAGCGGCACCCCAUCCCAGUGGGGCAGACCCCACAGCGCCUGCCCACAGCGCCUAGAUGUGGGGUCCCUGUCUCCACAGCUGCUGCAGGCUCAGGCUCAGUGCCUCUGGGAGACGAGGUGCACCCCUCCACAAACAUCCGAUGCACCCCUCCACAAACGUCCUGUUUGUCCACCGCACACCAGGCGUGUCUUGUCCACACCCUCCCCACCUGCAUGCCCUCUGAUCUGGGUCAGCCCUGUUGGAGGUGGAGGAAGGGUAGGACCUGGGGGUCCCCUGCCUCGGAGUGAGGAGAGACUGAGCACCCUAGGUUCAUCCUGUGUGCUGGAAAAAAAAGCACACACUUUUAAAAUGAUGACAAGCAGCUCCUGAGCGUCUCCUGCUCUGGUCUCAAUCUCUUGUGCACUCUCACUUGGGGCAGGUCUGCCUCUCCCCGAAGGGCCCCGCCCUGCCUCGUUAGCACCUUUCCAGACAGGAGAGAUUUACCUUCCUGAGCUCAGGCAAAUAUGCUAAUCCGGAAUCUAGAACACAAUGACGCUCUAACAGCAAAAUGAAUGCUGCUUCUCCUGGGUUGUGGCAUCCCACGUGGGAAGCACAGAGCUGCGGGAGCUGGAGGCCCUGGGGCCCCCUCCUUCCUCAGCCUGCCCAGCGGCCUGUGGCCUCCUGGGAGCCCGAUGCACCCCUCCACAAACGUCCUGUUUGUCCACCGCACACCAGGCAUGUCUUGUCCACACCCUCCCCACCUGCAUGCCCUCUGAUCUGGGUCAGCCAGCCCCGUUGGAGAUGGCUGCU